UGAGGAAUAUUGGUCAAUGGGGCGGAAGCCUGAACCAGCCAUGCCGCGUGAAGGACUAAGGCCCUAUGGGUCGUAAACUUCUUUAGACGCAGAGCAAUAAGGGUCUCGAGAGAUCCGAUGAGAGUAUGCGUAGAAUAAGCAUCGGCUAACUCCGUGCCAGCAGCCGCGGUAAUACGGGGGAUGCGAGCGUUAUCCGGAUUUAUUGGGUUUAAAGGGUGCGUAGGCGGAAGUGCAAGUCAGCGGUGAAAUCCCCGCGCUCAACGCGGGAGUUGCCGUUGAUACUGUACAUCUGGAAUGCUCUUGCCGUGGGAGGAAUGAGUAGUGUAGCGGUGAAAUGCAUAGAUAUUAGGAGGAACACCAGUGGCGAAAGGCGACUUUCUGGACAGUA
rnacentral:rRNA from 1 species